GGCCGGAGUGCAAUGGCACCUUCUUGGCUUAUUGCAAUGUCUCCUUCCUGGGUUCAAGCAAUUCUCAUGCCUCAGCCUCCCAGGUAGCUGGGAUUACAGGCACACAUCACCAUGGCUGGAAAAUUUUUGUAUUUUUAGUAGAGAUAGUGUUUUGCCAUGUUGG